rnacentral:rRNA from 1 species
CACUCCUGCGGGAGGCAGCAGUGGGGAAUAUUGGACAAUGGGCGCAAGCCUGAUCCAGCCAUGCCGCGUGAGUGAUGAAGGCCCUAGGGUUGUAAAGCUCUUUCACCGGUGAAGAUAAUGACGGUAACCGGAGAAGAAGCCCCGGCUAACUUCGUGCCAGCAGCCGCGGUAAUACGAAGGGGGCUAGCGUUGUUCGGAUUUACUGGGCGUAAAGCGCACGUAGGCGGACUAUUAAGUCAGGGGUGAAAUCCCGGGGCUCAACCCCGGAACUGCCUUUGAUACUGGUAGUCUUGAGUUCGAGAGAGGUGAGUGGAAUUCCGAGUGUAGAGGUGAAAUUCGUAGAUAUUCGGAGGAACACCAGUGGCGAAGGCGGCUCACUGGCUCGAUACUGACGCUGAGGUGCGAAAGCGUGGGGAGCAAACAGGAUUAGAUACCCUUGUAGUCCCAUG